UUAGGGUUAGGGUUUGUGCUAGGGUUAGGGUUAGGGUUAGGCUUUGAUUAUAGAGUUAAGCUAGAAGGGACAGGCCCUUUAUUUUGGGGUUAAGGCUGUGGCUAAGUUUUCCUAAGUUACUCCAAUCCAGAUCCCCAAUCCAAACCUUCAGAUCAACCUUCUCCUAUACAGAUCUCUAAUGCAACUUU